AUACAGAGGGUGCAAGCGUUAAUCGGAAUUACUGGGCGUAAAGCGCGCGUAGGCGGUUUAAUCAGUCGGAUGUGAAAGCCCCGGGCUCAACCUGGGAACUGCAUUCGAUACUGUUAAGCUAGAGUGUGGUAGAGGGAAGUGGAAUUCCAGGUGUAGCGGUGAAAUGCGUAGAUAUCUGGAGGAACAUCAGUGGCGAAGGCGACUUCCUGGACCAAUACUGACGCUGAGGUGCGAAAGCGUGGGUAGCAAACAGGAUUAGAUACCCUAGUAGUCC
rnacentral:rRNA from 1 species